CAACCGAGAUUCCGGUAGUAGCGGCGAGCGAACCUGGAUUAGCCCUUAAGCACUCGGUGAAGUAGGUGAACAAGCUGGAAAGCUUGGCGAUACAGGGUGAUAGCCCCGUAACCGACGCUUCAUCGAGCGUGAAAUCGAGUAGGGCGGGACACGUGAUAUCCUGUCUGAAUAUGGGGGGACCAUCCUCCAAGGCUAAAUACUCCUGACUGACCGAUAGUGAACCAGUACCGUGAGGGAAAGGCGAAAAGAACCCCUGUGAGGGGAGUGAAAUAGAACCUGAAACCGUGUACGUACAAGCAGUAGGAGCACCUUCGUGGUGUGACUGCGUACCUUUUGUAUAAUGGGUCAGCGACUUAUAUUCAGUGGCAAGGUUAACCGUAUAGGGGAGCCGUAGCGAAAGCGAGUCUUAACUGGGCGCUCAGUCUCUGGAUAUAGACCCGAAACCGGGUGAUCUAGCCAUGGGCAGGUUGAAGGUUGAGUAACAUCAACUGGAGGACCGAACCGACUAAUGUUGAAAAAUUAGCGGAUGACUUGUGGCUAGGGGUGAAAGGCCAAUCAAACUCGGAGAUAGCUGGUUCUCCCCGAAAGCUAUUUAGGUAGCGCCUCGGACGAAUACUACUGGGGGUAGAGCACUGUUAAGGCUAGGGGGUCAUCCCGACUUACCAACCCUUUGCAAACUCCGAAUACCAGUAAGUACUAUCCGGGAGACACACGGCGGGUGCUAACGUCCGUCGUGGAGAGGGAAACAACCCAGACCGCCAGCUAAGGUCCCAAAGUAUUGCUAAGUGGGAAACGAUGUGGGAAGGCUCAGACAGCUAGGAUGUUGGCUUAGAAGCAGCCAUCAUUUAAAGAAAGCGUAAUAGCUCACUAGUCGAGUCGGCCUGCGCGGAAGAUGUAACGGGGCUAAGCAAUACACCGAAGCUGCGGCAAUGUCUUUUAGACAUUGGGUAGGGGAGCGUUCUGUAAGCCGUUGAAGGUGAAUCGUAAGGUUUGCUGGAGGUAUCAGAAGUGCGAAUGCUGACAUGAGUAACGACAAAGGGGGUGAAAAACCUCCUCGCCGGAAGACCAAGGGUUCCUGUCCAACGUUAAUCGGGGCAGGGUGAGUCGACCCCUAAGGUGAGGCCGAAAGGCGUAAUCGAUGGGAAACGGGUUAAUAUUCCCGUACUUCUGACUAUUGCGAUGGGGGGACGGAGAAGGCUAGGUGGGCCAGGCGACGGUUGUCCUGGUUCAAGUGCGUAGGCUUGAGAGUUAGGUAAAUCCGGCUCUCUCUAAGGCUGAGACACGACGUCGAGCUACUACGGUAGUGAAGUCAUUGAUGCCAUGCUUCCAGGAAAAGCCUCUAAGCUUCAGAUAGUCAGGAAUCGUACCCCAAACCGACACAGGUGGUCGGGUAGAGAAUACCAAGGCGCUUGAGAGAACUCGGGUGAAGGAACUAGGCAAAAUGGUACCGUAACUUCGGGAGAAGGUACGCUCUUGAUGGUGAAGUCCCUCGCGGAUGGAGCUGACGAGAGUCGCAGAUACCAGGUGGCUGCAACUGUUUAUUAAAAACACAGCACUGUGCAAAAUCGCAAGAUGACGUAUACGGUGUGACGCCUGCCCGGUGCCGGAAGGUUAAUUGAUGGGGUUAGCGCAAGCGAAGCUCUUGAUCGAAGCCCCGGUAAACGGCGGCCGUAACUAUAACGGUCCUAAGGUAGCGAAAUUCCUUGUCGGGUAAGUUCCGACCUGCACGAAUGGCGUAAUGAUGGCCACGCUGUCUCCACCCGAGACUCAGUGAAAUUGAAAUCGCUGUGAAGAUGCAGUGUACCCGCGGCUAGACGGAAAGACCCCGUGAACCUUUACUACAGCUUGGCACUGAACAUUGAACCUACAUGUGUAGGAUAGGUGGGAGGCUAUGAAGACGUGACGCCAGUUGCGUUGGAGCCGUCCUUGAAAUACCACCCUUGUAUGUUUGAUGUUCUAACUUAGACCCAUUAUCUGGGUUGAGGACAGUGCCUGGUGGGUAGUUUGACUGGGGCGGUCUCCUCCCAAAGAGUAACGGAGGAGCACGAAGGUGGGCUAAUCACGGUUGGACAUCGUGAGGUUAGUGCAAUGGCAUAAGCCCGCUUAACUGCGAGAAUGACGGUUCGAGCAGGUGCGAAAGCAGGUCAUAGUGAUCCGGUGGUUCUGUAUGGAAGGGCCAUCGCUCAACGGAUAAAAGGUACUCCGGGGAUAACAGGCUGAUACCGCCCAAGAGUUCAUAUCGACGGCGGUGUUUGGCACCUCGAUGUCGGCUCAUCACAUCCUGGGGCUGAAGUCGGUCCCAAGGGUAUGGCUGUUCGCCAUUUAAAGUGGUACGCGAGCUGGGUUUAGAACGUCGUGAGACAGUUCGGUCCCUAUCUGCCGUGGGCGUUGGAAGAUUGAAGGGGGCUGCUCCUAGUACGAGAGGACCGGAGUGGACGAACCUCUGGUGUUCGGGUUGUGUCGCCAGACGCAUUGCCCGGUAGCUAAGUUCGGAAUUGAUAAGCGCUGAAAGCAUCUAAGCGCGAAGCGAGCCCUGAGAUGAGUCUUCCCUGACAGUUUAACUGUCCUAAAGGGUUGUUCGAGACUAGAACGUUGAUAGGCAGGGUGUGUAAGCGUUGUGAGGCGUUGAGCUAACCUGUACUAAUUGCCCGUGAGGCUUAACCAU
rnacentral:rRNA from 1 species